rnacentral:rRNA from 1 species
UACAGAGGUCUCAAGCGUUGUUCGGAUUCAUUGGGCGUAAAGGGUGCGUAGGCGGCGGGGCAAGUCGGAUGUGAAAUCUCAGGGCUCAACCCUGAAACUGCAUUCGAUACUGCCUUGCUCGAGGACUGGAGAGGAGAUUGGAAUUCACGGUGUAGCAGUGAAAUGCGUAGAUAUCGUGAGGAAGACAAGUGGCGAAGGCGGAUCUCUGGACAGUUCCUGACGCUGAGGCACGAAGGCCAGGGGAGCAAACGGG